GAUGAACGCUGGCGGUGUGCCUAAUACAUGCAAGUCGAACGGGAUCUUCGGAUCUAGUGGCGAACGGGUGAGUAACACGUUGGUACCUACCCCGAAGUGGGGAAUAACUGCCCGAAAGGGUCGCUAAUACCGCAUAAUACCGCAAGGUUAAAGCAGUAAUGCGCUUCGGGAGGGGCCUGCGUCCCAUUAGCUAGUUGGUAGGGUAAUGGCCUACCAAGGCGACGAUGGGUAGCUGGAUCGAGAGGUUGACCAGCCACACUGGGACUGAGAUACGGCCCAGACUCCUACGGGAGGCAGCAGUAAGGAAUCUUCCACAAUGGACGAAAGUCUGAUGGAGCAACACCGCGUGCAGGAUGACGGCCUU
rnacentral:rRNA from 1 species